rnacentral:rRNA from 1 species
GUACGGGAGGCAGCAGUGAGGAAUAUUGCGCAAUGGGGGCAACCCUGACGCAGCAACGCCGCGUGAGUGAGGAAGGUUUUCGGACCGUAAAGCUCUGUCGAGCGGGAAGAAAUGCAUGGUGGCUAAUAUCCAUCAUGCUUGACGGUACCGCUAAAGGAAGCACCGGCUAACUCCGUGCCAGCAGCCGCGGUAAUACGGGGGGUGCGAGCGUUGUUCGGAAUUAUUGGGCGUAAAGAGCGUGUAGGCGGCUGAAUAAGUCAGAUGUGAAAUCCCUGGGCUUAACCCAGGACGUGCAUUUGAAACUAUUCGGCUUGAGUAAGGGAGAGGAAAGUGGAAUUCCUGGUGUAGAGGUGAAAUUCGUAGAUAUCAGGAGGAACACCGGUGGCGAAGGCGACUUUCUGGCCCUAUACUGACGCUGAGACGCGAGAGCGUGGGUAGCAAACAGGAUUAGAUACCCCGGUAGUCC